AAAGUAACAGUCUUCACUGACUGACUACUGCAUCUACUGUGUAAAAUAUAUGAGAAAGUGAAAGACUUGAUUUUUUUAACAGGGAGCUGAUGUAUGUGGAAAGCAGGUGCUGGUUAGAGGCACACAUGGUGACAGGAUUGUGUUUUCCUUCAACACUUUCCGAAAGCUUUUUAUUCUACUGCUUUAAUUCACCCCAAUUCUUUCAUGAGGAUAUUUGAAAAUAAAGGAUACAAAGAAGCAAGAACGGCUACAUCUUCAUAAGCAGGGAAGAAUCUGAAAUAAAGCCCUACGUGAAGAUCGCUCACCUUAACUGCUUGUACUGGUAUAAUUUUACUUACCCACAUACACAAAUGAGCAGAAAGAUGACACUUGGGGUGAAAACAACUUAAAUCAGCUGCAGUAGUAUGGAAAAUGAACCACUCACUGAAGUCAGGAAAAGAGAAUAAAAGAGACUUAAACAGGUGGAGGAAAGGUUGAUUUCAGGUAGACUGAGGGAGUGGAAAAGAGAAGAGAAAAUUAAGAGUAUUCAGGCAGCCAUUACAGCAUAGCGAAUGAAACAGAGAAGACUAGGGCAGUGUAAAACAGAGCCUCUGACUACAGCAAGUCCAAGGUCACUGAACAGCAAACAAAAGAAUUGCAAUAGGUGAAACAAAGGACUGCAGGAUGCAAACAUGGUUGCUAGAACAACUGCUGAACUGCUGAACUGCUGGUUGUACUGAGGGUACAACCGAGCACAAAACGACCGUGAACAACAGAUCUAAUUGGGAGAAGCUGAUAAAAGCAAGAUCAAGAAUGCAAUGAAAAUCAGCUGCACAUUUAUGGGGAUGAGAAGGGAGAACCUUUCUAGAAUAAUUAUUAAAACACAGAAAUCUCAACAUGGUUUUGUAAAAAUGUUCUUCACUACCUUUGUACUUUAGAGCUCACAAAGGAGAAAAGCAGAUAAUAAAAGGUCAUAUUUACAAGAAACUCAGCACUUGGUAUGUGUAAAAACAGUUUCUAAUAAAUCUAAGAGGCAUCAGAAAUAAAGGUUUAAGCAAACUGCAUCAGAAUCACAGCUUCUUAUUACAUACCUCCUAAAUGAGCACCUCCAGAUGAACUCGCACUUCUUGAAUUUUGGCACAAUGCAUAUCAUGCCAUUUUAUAGAAUUUUAUCUGCAAAUGCUGUGAAUAUUGUAAGAGUUUUAAGAUUUUUUUUUACUGCUUCUGGUUCACUAACUUUCCAAAAUGACUUUUAAUUUGUAAUCGCAUAAUUCUGAAAUUACUCUUAUGUUUCUGUCAUUUUUUCAGUUUUUUUUCCUCUUUUCUAAUAGAUCAAAUCUCAAUAAAAUCAUGCCAAUAUAAUAUAAUGAAUUAUAUACAAUUUUAAUAUAUACACUUAAAUUAGCAACAUCCAUGCCUAAUUACAAUUUUUGUUUUUAAA